CCUACGGGAGGCAGCAGUCGCGAAAACUUUGCAAUACACGAAAGUGUGACAGGGCUAUCCCGAGUGCCAUCCGCUGAGGAAGGCUUUUACCCAGUCUAGAACGCUGGGGGAAUAAGGAGAGGGCAAGUCUGGUGUCAGCCGCCGCGGUAAUACCAGCUCUCCGAGUGGUGUGGAUGUUUAUUGGGCCUAAAGCAUCCGUAGCUGGCUAAGUUAGUCCCCUGUUAAAUCCAACGAAUUAAUCGUUGGAUCGCGGGGGAUACUGCUUGGCUAGGGGACGAGAGAGGCAGACGGUAUUUCCGGGGUAGGGGUGAAAUCCUAUAAUCCCGGGAAGACCACCAGUGGCGAAGGCUGUCUGCUAGAACGCGCCCGACGGUGAGGGAUGAAAGCUGGGGGAGCGAACCGGAUUAGAUACCCCAGUAGUCC
rnacentral:rRNA from 1 species